CCUACGGGUGGCAGCAGUGAGGAAUAUUGGUCAAUGGACGAGAGUCUGAACCAGCCAAGUAGCGUGAAGGAUGACUGCCCUAUGGGUUGUAAAUUUCUUUUAUAUGGGAAUAAAAUGUUCCACGUGUGGGAUUUUGUAUGUACCAUAUGAAUAAGGAUCGGCUAACUCCGUGCCAGCAGCCGCGGUAAUACGGAGGAUCCUAGCGUUAUCCGGAUUUAUUGGGUUUAAGGGGAGCGGAGGUGGAUUGUUAAGUCAGUUGUGAAAGUUUGCGGCUCAACCGUAAAAUUGCAGUUGAAACUGGCAGUCUUGAGUACAGUAGAGGUGGGCGGAAUUCGUGGUGUAGCGGGUAAAUGCUUAGAUAUCACGAAGAACUCCGAUUGCGAAGGCAGUUCACUGGACUGCAACUGACACUGAGGCUCGAAAGUGUGGGUAUCAAACAGGAUUAGAUACCCCUGUAGUC
rnacentral:rRNA from 1 species